rnacentral:rRNA from 1 species
GGGUUAAGUCCCGCAACGAGCGCAACCCUACUGCCAGUUACUACAGGUGAAGCUGAGGACUCUGGCGGAACUGCCGGUGACAAACCGGAGGAAGGUGGGAUGACGUCAAGUCAUCAUGGCCCUUAUGUCCAGGGCUACACACGUGCUACAAUGGGUGAGACAGAGUGACGCGAAGCCGCGAGGUGGAGCAAAUCGACAGAAAAUCAUCCGUAGUUCGGAUUGGAGUCUGAAACCCGACUCCAUGAAGGUGGAAUCGCUAGUAAUCGCGCGUCAGCAUGGCGCGGUGAAUACGUUCCCGGGCCUU